ACGUACGGCCAUAGACGCUGGAAAGCACGGGAUCCCGUCCGCUCUCCCCUAGUUAAGCCAACGAUCGGCGGAUUAGUAGUUGGGUCGGUGACGACCAGCGAAUCCCCGCUGCUGUACGUU
rfam:Sporothrix insectorum RCEF 264 scaffold_5, whole genome shotgun sequence.